UACCCUACUAUGCUUGGCAGAAACAAGGCCAAGACAUACGCUUUGGCCCGCCAGAUUAUUACAAGUAAAAACUUAAAACUCAAAGGACUUGACGGUGUCCCACAUACAACCUAGAGGAGCCUGUCCUAUAAUCGAUGAUCCACGAAGGACCUAACCACUUUUUGCCCAACAGCCUAUAUACCGCCGUCGAAAGUACACCCUAUGAGGGAAGUAAAGUGAACAAAAUAGCCUAGCACUAAUACGUCAGGUCAAGGUGUAGCUAAUAAAGUGGUCAGAGAUGGGCUACAUUUCUUUUUAAAGGAAAGACGAAUGAUUAGAUGAAACCCCUAAUCAGAAGGAGGAUUUAGUAGUAAAACAGGAUCAGCACGCCUAUUUGAACACACUGCCCUGGAACGCGUACACACCGCCCGUCACCCCUAUCACACACCCAAAACCAUAAAUAAAACUAUAGGACAAAAAAGAUUGGGUAAGUCGUAA
rnacentral:rRNA from 1 species